rnacentral:rRNA from 1 species
AAGACCUUGCGCUUUUGGAGCGGCCGAUGUCUGAUUAGCUAGUUGGUGGGGUAAUGGCCUACCAAAGCUUCGAUCAGUAGCUGGUCUGAGAGGACGGCCAGCCACACUGGGACUGAGACACGGCCCAGACUCCUACGGGAGGCAGCAGUGGGGAAUUUUGGACAAUGGGCGCAAGCCUGAUCCAGCCAUGCCGCGUGAGUGAAGAAGGCCUUCGGGUUGUAAAGCUCGUUCAGCCGGGAAGAAAAGGCUGCGACUAAUAAUCGCAGUUCAUGACGGUACCGGAAGAAGAAGCACCGGCUAACUACGUGCCAGCAGCCGCGGUAAUACGUAGGGUGCGAGCGUUAAUCGGAAUUACUGGGCGUAAAGGGUGCGCAGGCGGUUUUGUAAGUCAGAUGUGAAAUCCCCGGGCUUAACCUGGGAACU